CCUACGGGCUGCAGCAGUGGGGAAUAUUGGGCAAUGGGCGAAAGCCUGAUCCAGCAAUGCCGCGUGUGUGAAGAAGGUCUUCGGAUUGUAAAGCACUUUCGACGGGGACGAUGAUGACGGUACCCGUAGAAGAAGCCCCGGCUAACUUCGUGCCAGCAGCCGCGGUAAUACGAAGGGGGCUAGCGUUGCUCGGAAUGACUGGGCGUAAAGGGCGCGUAGGCGGUUUAUGCAGUCAGAUGUGAAAUCCCCGGGCUUAACCGGGGAACUGCAUUUGAGACGCAUAGACUAGAAGUCGGGAGAGGGUUGUGGAAUUCCCAGUGUAGAGGUGAAAUUCGUAGAUAUUGGGAAGAACACCGGUGGCGAAGGCGGCAUCCUGGCUCGAUCCUGACGCUGAGGCGCGAAAGCGUGGGGAGCAAACAGGAUUAGAUACCCUCGUAGUC
rnacentral:rRNA from 1 species